rnacentral:RNase_P_RNA from 1 species
CGAGUUGGCCGGGUGAUCGCGGCGUGAGCAAUCGCAUCGAGGAAAGUCCGGACUCCACAGGGCAAGGUGGUGGGUAACGCCCACCCGGGGAAACCCGCGGGACAGUGCCACAGAAAACAGACCGCCUUGAGCAAUCAAGGUAAGGGUGAAACGGCGGUGUAAGAGACCACCAGCACUGCAGGUGACUGCAGUGGCUAGGUAAACCCCACUUGGAGCAAGGUCAAGAGGAUCGGGCAACCGAUCUGCGCAGGCGAGCGGCCCGCUCAAUGUCUGCGGGUAGACCGCACCAGGUCACUGGCAACAGUGGCCGCAGAUGGAUGAUCACCGAAUCGGUCACCGAGAGGUGCCGAGGAACAGAAUCCGGCUUACAGGCCAACUCGUCCA